AUUGAACGCUGGCGGCAUGCCUUACACAUGCAAGUCGAACGGCAGCGGGCCUUCGGGUGCCGGCGAGUGGCGAACGGGUGAGUAAUGCAUCGGAACGUGCCAUUGAGUGGGGGGAUAACGUAGCGAAAGUUACGCUAAUACCGCAUAUUCUGUGAGCAGGAAAGCAGGGGACCGCAAGGCCUUGCGCUCUUUGAGCGGCCGAUGUCAGAUUAGCUAGUUGGUGAGGUAAAGGCUUACCAAGGCGACGAUCUGUAGCGGGUCUGAGAGGAUGAUCCGCCACACUGGAACUGAGACACGGUCCAGACUCCUACGGGAGGCAGCAGUGGGGAAUUUUGGACAAUGGGCGCAAGCCUGAUCCAGCCAUGCCGCGUGAGUGAAGAAGGCCUGGUGUAAG
rnacentral:rRNA from 1 species